rnacentral:lncRNA from 1 species
AUGUGGCUAAUGACUAAUAUAGAGUGCAUUUUGAUCAUUCAAGAGGUAUUUUGUUUUCAUACACUCUUCAAAUUUUACUCCCAGUGAGGAACAGAGGCAAAUGAUCAACAACGAGGCUAAUAUAGUAGCAGUAAAUGUUGCUAAAGAAUUUGGUGAUUAUUCGUUCAUUUCAUAUUAUCCAACCAAAACAGAGUAGCUUAUAGAGACCAAUUCAAUUUCUAUUCAGUGUUCAAUGUGAAAGUAUAUUUGUAAUGUUUUUCCACUACGAGUGCACUAUUACCAAUCCCAUUGCCCUUCAUAAGCUAAGCACCCGCUACAUGUUUUCCCCCUCCCCCCCUAUUGAGAUUAACUUGGAUAGAGAGACAUGAGAGUGUAUAAUGAAAAUGAUAAUCAGAAGUUUCAUGUUAAGUGGGGUAAUGGGAAAAGCAUGUCUUGGCUGAGUUGACAUUAGUAGGGCUGUAAACGAGUCGAGCCGAGCCGAAUACCAAUGGGGUUGAGCUCGGCUCGUUUAAAUAUUUGGUGUUCGAGCUUGGCUCGAGCUCGAUUCGAGCUUUUAUCUAAUUGUUUGAGCUCGGUUCGUGACCCACUUAUCGAGCUUGAGCUCGGUUCGAGUUUGGCUCGUG